CCUACGGGGGGCAGCAGUGAGGAAUAUUGGGCAAUGGGGGCAACCCUGACCCAGCAAUGCCGCGUGCGGGAGGACGCCCUUCGGGGUGUAAACCGCUUUUGAGGGGGAGGAGCACGGACCGUACCCCUCGAAUAAGUCACGGCUAACUACGUGCCAGCAGCCGCGGUAAUACGUAGGUGACAAACGUUAUCCGGAAUUACUGGGCGUAAAGGGUCCGCAGGCGGUGGCGUAGGUCUGACGUGAAAGCUCCCGGCUCAACUGGGAGAGGCCGUUGGAAACCGCGUCACUUGAAUCACGCAGAGGUCGGUGGAAUUCCCGGUGUAGUGGUGGAAUGCGUAGAGAUCGGGAGGAACCUCGAAAGCGAAGGCAGCCGGCUGGGCGCUGAUUGACGCUGAGGGACGAAAGCGUGGGGAGCGAACAGGAUUAGAUACCCCAGUAG
rnacentral:rRNA from 1 species